rnacentral:tRNA from 1 species
CUCCCGGUAGCCAAGUUGGUUUAAGGCGCCAGACUGUAAAUCUGGAGAUCGGGCGUUCGACUCGCCCCCGGGAGA